AUUGAACGCUGGCGGCAGGCCUAACACAUGCAAGUCGAGCGGAUGAAGGGAGCUUGCUCCUGGAUUCAGCGGCGGACGGGUGAGUAAUGCCUAGGAAUCUGCCUGGUAGUGGGGGAUAACGUCCGGAAACGGGCGCUAAUACCGCAUACGUCCUGAGGGAGAAAGUGGGGGAUCUUCGGACCUCACGCUAUCAGAUGAGCCUAGGUCGGAUUAGCUAGUUGGUGGGGUAAGGGCCUACCAAGGCGACGAUCCGUAACUGGUCUGAGAGGAUGAUCAGUCACACUGGAACUGAGACACGGUCCAGACUCCUACGGGAGGCAGCAGUGGGGAAUAUUGGACAAUGGGCGAAAGCCUGAUCCAGCCAUGCCGCGUGUGUGAAGAAGGUCUUCGGAUUGUAAAGCACUUUAAGUUGGGAGGGAGGGCAGUAAGUUAAUACCUUGCUGUUUUGACGUUACCAACAGAAUAAGCACCGGCUAACUUCGUG
rnacentral:rRNA from 1 species